rnacentral:rRNA from 1 species
CGAGUCUGAAUAGGGCGUUUAGUAUUUGGUCGUAGACCCGAAACCAGGUGAUCUACCCUUGGUCAGGUUGAAGUUCAGGUAACACUGAAUGGAGGACCGAACCGACUUACGUUGAAAAGUGAGCGGAUGAACUGAGGGUAGCGGAGAAAUUCCAAUCGAACCUGGAGAUAGCUGGUUCUCUCCGAAAUAGCUUUAGGGCUAGCCUCAAGUGAUGAUUAUUGGAGGUAGAGCACUGUUUGGACGAGGGGCCCCUCUCGGGUUACCGAAUUCAGACAAACUCCGAAUGCCAAUUAAUUUAACUUGGGAGUCAGAACAUGGGUGAUAAGGUCCGUGUUCGAAAGGGAAACAGCCCAGACCACCAGCUAAGGUCCCAAAAUAUAUGUUAAGUGGAAAAGGAUGUGGCGUUGCCCAGACAACUAGGAUGUUGGCUUAGAAGCAGCCAUCAUUUAAAGAGUGCGUAAUAGCUCACUAGUCGAGUGACACUGCGCCGAAAAUGUACCGGGGCUAAACAUAUUACCGAAGCUGUGGAUUGUCCUUUGGACAAUGGUAGGAGAGCGUUCUAAGGGCGUUGAAGCAUGAUCGUAAGGACAUGUGGAGCGCUUAGAAGUGAGAAUGCCGGUGUGAGUAGCGAAAGACGGGUGAGAAUCCCGUCCACCGAUUGACUAAGGUUUCCAGAGGAAGGCUCGUCCGCUCUGGGUUAGUCGGGUCCUAAGCUGAGGCCGACAGGCGUAGGCGAUGGAUAACAGGUUGAUAUUCCUGUACCACCUAUAAUCGUUUUAAUCGAUGGGGGGACGCAGUAGGAUAGGCGAAGCGUGCGAUUGGAUUGCACGUCUAAGCAGUAAGGCUGAGUAUUAGGCAAAUCCGGUACUCGUUAAGGCUGAGCUGUGAUGGGGAGAAGACAUUGAGUCUUCGAGUCGUUGAUUUCACACUGCCGAGAAAAGCCUCUAGAUAGAAAAUAGGUGCCCGUACCGCAAACCGACACAGGUAGUCAAGAUGAGAAUUCUAAGGUGAGCGAGCGAACUCUCGUUAAGGAACUCGGCAAAAUGACCCCGUAACUUCGGGAGAAGGGGUGCUCUUUAGGGUUAACGCCCAGAAGAGCCGCAGUGAAUAGGCCCAAGCGACUGUUUAUCAAAAACACAGGUCUCUGCUAAACCGUAAGGUGAUGUAUAGGGGCUGACGCCUGCCCGGUGCUGGAAGGUUAAGAGGAGUGGUUAGCUUCUGCGAAGCUACGAAUCGAAGCCCCAGUAAACGGCGGCCGUAACUAUAACGGUCCUAAGGUAGCGAAAUUCCUUGUCGGGUAAGUUCCGACCCGCACGAAAGGCGUAACGAUUUGGGCACUGUCUCAACGAGAGACUCGGUGAAAUCAUAGUACCUGUGAAGAUGCAGGUUACCCGCGACAGGACGGAAAGACCCCGUGGAGCUUUACUGUAGCCUGAUAUUGAAAUUCGGCACAGCUUGUACAGGAUAGGUAGGAGCCUUUGAAACGUGAGCGCUAGCUUACGUGGAGGCGCUGGUGGGAUACUACCCUAGCUGUGUUGGCUUUCUAACCCGCACCACUUAUCGUGGUGGGAGACAGUGUCAGGCGGGCAGUUUGACUGGGGCGGUCGCCUCCUAAAAGGUAACGGAGGCGCUCAAAGGUUCCCUCAGAAUGGUUGGAAAUCAUUCAUAGAGUGUAAAGGCAUAAGGGAGCUUGACUGCGAGACCUACAAGUCGAGCAGGGUCGAAAGACGGACUUAGUGAUCCGGUGGUUCCGCAUGGAAGGGCCAUCGCUCAACGGAUAAAAGCUACCCCGGGGAUAACAGGCUUAUCUCCCCCAAGAGUUCACAUCGACGGGGAGGUUUGGCACCUCGAUGUCGGCUCAUCGCAUCCUGGGGCUGUAGUCGGUCCCAAGGGUUGGGCUGUUCGCCCAUUAAAGCGGUACGCGAGCUGGGUUCAGAACGUCGUGAGACAGUUCGGUCCCUAUCCGUCGUGGGCGUAGGAAAUUUGAGAGGAGCUGUCCUUAGUACGAGAGGACCGGGAUGGACAUACCUCUGGUGUACCAGUUGUCGUGCCAACGGCAUAGCUGGGUAGCUAUGUGUGGACGGGAUAAGUGCUGAAAGCAUCUAAGCAUGAAGCCCCCCUCAAGAUGAGAUUUCCCAACUUCGGUUAUAAGAUCCCUCAAAGAUGAUGAGGUUAAUAGGUUCGAGGUGGAAGCAUGGUGACAUGUGGAGCUGACGAAUACUAAUCGAUCGAAGACUUAAUCAA